UUUAUUUUAACUUUUGUAGUUUUUUUUCUUCUUUUCUUUGAAUAAUGGUGAUUUAUUUUACUCCUACUAACAAGACUAACCUUUAAUUGAUUGCGUUACAGGCUUAACUCAGACUAGUUUUUCACACUAAUCAUUUAGAGAUGGAAGGUACUGAUAACAUGCAAGUUAUUUUCAUAAAUGAGGCUCAAAGAAGACGCUAUGAAGUCUUGG
rnacentral:lncRNA from 1 species